rnacentral:rRNA from 1 species
GGCGAACGCUGGCGGCGUGCUUAACACAUGCAAGUCGAGCGGGGACAUGGAACGGAAGGUUUCGGCUGGAAGGUUCAUGUUCUAGCGGCGGACGGGUGAGUAACGCGUGAACAAUCUGUCCCAGACAGGGGGAUAACACUUGGAAACAGGUGCUAAUACCGCAUAAGACCACGAGAUCACAUGAUUUUGAGGUAAAAGGAGCAAUCCGGUCUGGGGUGAGUUCGCGUCCGAUUAGCUAGUUGGCGAGGUAACGGCCCACCAAGGCGACGAUCGGUAGCCGACCUGAGAGGGUGAUCGGGCCACAUUGGAACUGAGAGACGGUCCAAACUCCUACGGGAGGCAGCAGUGGGGAAUAUUGGGCAAUGGGCGAAAGCCUGACCCAGCAACGCCGCGUGAGGGAAGAAGGUUUUCGGAUUGGUAAACCUCUGUCCUCAGGGACGAAGGAAGUGACGGUACCUGA